rnacentral:rRNA from 1 species
GAAAGCCACGGCUAACUACGUGCCAGCAGCCGCGGUAAUACGUAGGUGGCAAGCGUUGUCCGGAUUUAUUGGGCGUAAAGCGCGUGCAGGCGGCUAUGUAAGUCUGGUGUUAAAGCCCGGAGCUCAACUCCGGUUCGCAUCGGAAACUGUGUAGCUUGAGUGCAGAAGAGGAAAGCGGUAUUCCACGUGUAGCGGUGAAAUGCGUAGAGAUGUGGAGGAACACCAGUGGCGAAGGCGGCUUUCUGGUCUGUAACUGACGCUGAGGCGCCGCGUGAACGAUGAAGGUCUUUCGGAUUGUAAAGUUCUGUUGUCAGGGAUGAACACGUGCCGUUAGAAUAGGGCGGUACCUUGACGGUACCUGACGAGAAAGCCACGGCUAACUACGUGCCAGCAGCCGCGGUAAUACGUAGGUGGCAACCGUUGUCCGGAUUUAUUUGGCGUAAAGCGCGCGCAGGCGGCUAUGUAAGUCUGGUGUUAAAGCCCGGAGGUCAACUCCGGUUCGCAUCGGAAACUGUGUAGCUUGAGUGCCGAAGAGGAAAGCGGUAUUUCACGUGUAGCGGUGAAAUGCGUAGAGAUUUGGAGGAACACCUGUGGGGAAGGCGGCUUUCUGGUCUGUA